rnacentral:rRNA from 1 species
AUUGAACGCUGGCGGCAGGCUUAACACAUGCAAGUCGAGCGGAGAUGAGGUGCUUGCACCUUAUCUUAGCGGCGGACGGGUGAGUAAUGCUUAGGAAUCUGCCUAUUAGUGGGGGACAACAUUCCGAAAGGAAUGCUAAUACCGCAUACGCCCUACGGGGGAAAGCAGGGGAUCUUCGGACCUUGCGCUAAUAGAUGAGCCUAAGUCGGAGUAGCUAGUUGGUGGGGUAAAGGCCUACCAAGGCGACGAUCUGUAGCGGGUCUGAGAGGAUGAUCCGCCACACUGGGACUGAGACACGGCCCAGACUCCUACGGGAGGCAGCAGUGGGGAAUAUUGGACAAUGGGCGGAAGCCUGAUCCAGCCAUGCCGCGUGUGUGAAGAAGGCCUUUUGGUUGUAAAGCACUUUAAGCGAGGAGGAGGCUACCUGGAUUAAUACUCUAGGAUAGUGGACGUUACUCGCAGAAUAAGCACCGGCCAACUCUGUGCCAGCAGCCGCCGCAGUA